AACAGUGGGGCCAAGUGGGUAGAGCACUGGACUUGGACUCAGGAAAUCUGGGUUCUAUUCCCAGCUCUGUCA
rnacentral:tRNA from 1 species